rnacentral:rRNA from 1 species
AAUCUUGCACAAUGGGGGCAACCCUGAUGCAGCGACGCCGCGUGAGUGAUGAAGCCCUUCGGGGUGUAAAGCUCUUUCGACGGGAACGAUAAUGACGGUACCCGGAGAAGAAGCUGCGGCUAACUACGUGCCAGCAGCCGCGGUAAUACGUAGGCAGCAAACGUUGUUCGGAAUUACUGGGCGUAAAGAGUGUGUAGGCGGUUUCGUUAGUCUGGUGUGAAAUCUCCCGGCUUAACUGGGAGGGUGCGCUAGAUACUGCGAGGCUUGAGUGUUGGAGAGGAAAGCGGAAUUCCUGGUGUAGCGGUGAAAUGCGUAGAUAUCAGGAGGAACACCUGUGGUGUAGACGGCUUUCUGGACAAUCACUGACGCUGAGACACGAAAGCGUGGGGAGCAAAC